rnacentral:lncRNA from 1 species
AGAAAGAGGUGUCCCAAAGUUGGAACACCGCGAUCUUUUCCCUGGGACAUUGUCUCUUUGAGUCCUCACGUGUGACGUUACUAUCUUAUCUCCAGAUCCAAAGAAGCGUCUUUCUCUGAUUCCUUUUAUCUGGAAGAACUGAGAGGAGACGGGCGAACGGUUGUGAGAAUCUCUUUAAGGGGCAGUCCUGGAAUGAGUGAAGGUCCCUCAAAACACAGAGACCUUGGGACUGGAGAGAUGGCUCAGCGGUUAAGAACACUGACUGCUCUUCCAAAGGUCCUGAGUUCAAUUCCCAGCAACCACAUGGUGGCUCACAACCAUCUGUAAUGAGAUCUGACGCCCUCUUCUGGUCUUCAGACACACAUGUAAGAAACUGCUGUAUACAUAAUGAAUAAAUAAAUCUUUAAAAAAAAAAAA